rnacentral:rRNA from 1 species
AGUGAACGCUGGCGGUAGGCCUAACACAUGCAAGUCGAACGGCAGCACAGUAAGAGCUUGCUCUUACGGGUGGCGAGUGGCGGAUGGGUGAGGAAUACAUCGGCAUCUACUUUUUCGUGGGGGAUAACGUAGGGAAACUUACGCUAAUACCGCAUACGACCUACGGGUGAAAGCAGGGGAUCUUCGGACCUUGCGCGAUUGAAUUAGCCGAUGUCGGAUUAGCUAGUUGGCGGGGUAAAGGCCCACCAAGGCGACGAUCCGUAGCUGGUCUGAGAGGAUGAUCAGCCACACUGGAACUGAGACACGGUCCAGACUCCUACGGGAGGCAGCAGUGGGGAAUAUUGGACAAUGGGCGCAAGCCUGAUCCAGCCAUACCGCGUGGGUGAAGAAGGCCUUCGGGUUGUAAAGCCCUUUUGUUGGGAAAGAAAAGCAGCAGGUUAAUACCCCGCUGUUCUGACGGUACCCAAAGAAUAAGCACCGGCUAACUUCGUG